rnacentral:rRNA from 1 species
GCCGAUUAUCUAACCUUUUGGAAGAAGUCGUCGAAGGUGGAAUCAAUACCUGGGGUGAAGUCGUAACAAGGUAGCCGUAUCGGAAGGUGCGGCUGGAUCACCUCCUUUCUAAGGAGA